rnacentral:lncRNA from 1 species
ACAAAUCCUAGAAUCAAGAAUGCUCUGAUACAAACUUGUAAGACCCGAUCCUGGAUUCCCCAAUCCAACCAGACCGCGGCCUCACCAAACAAUGCAAUCAGUUUCAUUUUCACAUUCAAGUUCAAGUGUUAAAUAAUUCUAAGUCUUUUUCAGAGUUUUGAGGUUCUCAACAUUCACACUUAAACAUUCCAACAUCAACUAGGGCAAAUAGAUAUUUCAUAGAUAAUAACCAAGGUUCAUACAUCAUUCAUCAUCCUAAUAAAUAGAUCACACACUAGAAUCACAUAAGUUCACAAGUUGCACAAUAGGCUACAAUAAUUACACAAUUUUCAGAAUCAACCCAAUCACCACACAUCUUCCCAUGGCCGCGGUCCUCAUGGUGCUUUUACCUUACCACGGUCCAUUUCU